UUUUUCAGGGGAUUUUGAAUAGAAUUUGCAAAGGAAAUUGCAAAUUUCACAUAGGAAAAUGGGUCAGUGGGUUGGGAAUUAAAGAACUGGAUGACAAUUUCUCCUAACGGUGUGGGCUUUAAAAGAUUAUUAAAACUUUUCAUGUCUUAGCCAUUUGCAAGUGAGAGAAACAUUAACUUCUAUUUACUAAAAAUCUUUGAGCUCUACAGGUAUGAUCAACACCCAAGCAUGUCAGAACAGUAAUGUGGUUUCAAACUCAUGAGAUAAUUUUACAGAAAUUAGUAUCAACAAAAUGAAAGUUUUGUCCCUUCAGUUAUUAUUUUCAGAUUAAUCCCUUUAAAGAGUCCUUUAUAAUAUCAGACUGCAGGCAAUAAUGGUGUUACUUCUACUUUAAUUAAAUUGUAUUUGCUACUAUGACAUACUGCUACUAUGACAUCAAUGACUGCAAUGUAUGCUAAAUUCCACAACAGCUUUUUUUCAGAAUUUUCUAAAGCUGAGCCAUUAAAAAGAAGCAGCAUACUUCUACUUCAGUUUUCGGGUAGUUACCAUACCUGUAGUUACGAUAGAGAUAAAUGCCACAGCAACAAAAAAGACAACAAAAAUAAUUUCUAUCCUCAUCUGGAACCAGCGCAGUGUCGACAGGAAGAAACCUGCAGUGGGUGCUUUUGCUACUACAUCCACACAAAUUCAAGGAAGGAUUUAAAUUCCCAGUAUUCCAAGUCAGAGGUCUUUCAUGAACAGAGAAAUCUGACUUUGCUCCUUAGCAGAGUCCAUGGAAGUCUGAAUCUAUGGAGGACCAGAAGAAAUUGGUUGUGAAGGAAUGACUGUUAAAAUUAUUCAAGAUGAUGGUUGAAUCUGGGCAGCAGCAGGGAUACUUGUCCUGUGGGGGUCUGCAGGGUAAAAAUAUUUCUGAGCCUGAGUAGUAAGAGUGGUUUGCAUAAACAGUGGAGGUAAGUACACACAGAGGCAAGCACUCAAAAAUUAAGCAAUACAGUUGAACUACUGCUAUAAGACAGCAAAAGUUACAACUUUUAUUCUACAAACCUGAAUGAAGUCAAAUACUGUAAGUGGAAGUAAAUCA